rnacentral:rRNA from 1 species
AUUGAACGCUGGCGGCAGGCCUAACACAUGCAAGUCGAGCGGGGUUUUCGGACCUAGCGGCGGACGGGUGAGUAAUGCGUAGGAAGCUGCCCGAUAGAGGGGGAUACCAGUUGGAAACGACUGUUAAUACCGCAUAAUGUCUACGGACCAAAGUGUGGGACCUUCGGGCCACAUGCUAUCGGAUGCGCCUACGUGGGAUUAGCUAGUUGGUGGGGUAAUGGCUCACCAAGGCGACGAUCUCUAGCUGGUUUGAGAAGAUGAUCAGCCACACUGGAACUGAGACACGGGCCAGACUCCUACUGGAGGCAGCAGUGGGGAAUAUUGGACAAUGGGCGAAAGCCGGAGCCAGCCAUGCCGCUUGUGUGAAGAAGGCCUUCGGGUUGUAAAGCACUUUCAGCGAGGAGGAAGGGGUGUGUGUUAAUAGUACACACCUUUGACGUUACUCGCAGAAGAAGCACCGGCUAACUCUGUGCCAGCCGCCGCAGUAAUAC